rnacentral:rRNA from 1 species
AGACGAGGAGCUUGCUUCUCUGACGUUAGCGGCGGACGGGUGAGUAACACGUGGAUAACCUACCUAUAAGACUGGGAUAACUUCGGGAAACCGGAGCUAAUACCGGAUAAUAUAUUGAACCGCAUGGUUCAAUAGUGAAAGACGGUUUUGCUGUCACUUAUAGAUGGAUCCGCGCCGCAUUAGCUAGUUGGUAAGGUAACGGCUUACCAAGGCAACGAUGCGUAGCCGACCUGAGAGGGUGAUCGGCCACACUGGAACUGAGACACGGUCCAGACUCCUACGGGAGGCAGCAGUAGGGAAUCUUCCGCAAUGGGCGAAAGCCUGACGGAGCAACGCCGCGUGAGUGAUGAAGGUCUUCGGAUCGUAAAACUCUGUUAUUAGGGAAGAACAAAUGUGUAAGUAACUAUGCACGUCUUGACGGUACCUAAUCAGAAAGCCACGGCUAACUACGUGCCAGCAGCCGCGGUAAUACGUAGGUGGCAAGCGUUAUCCGGAAUUAUUGGCGUAAAGCGCGCGUAGGCGGUUUUUUAAGUCUGAUGUGAAAGCCCACGGCUCAACCGUGGAGGGUCAUUGGAAACUGGAAAACUUGAGUGCAGAAGAGGAAAGUGGAAUUCCAUGUGUAGCGGUGAAAUGCGCAGAGAUAUGGAGGAACACCAGUGGCGAAGGCGACUUUCUGGUCUGUAACUGACGCUGAUGUGCGGAAGCGUGGG